rnacentral:misc_RNA from 1 species
GGAGGAUGAAUAGUUGGAUACGAUUGAUAAAUGCACCUAGGUGCAUUAUUUUGAUGUUCAAAGGAAACAGAAUCAGAUGGAUUCCCAAGUAUAUUAUGCUCUCCUUGAACCUCCAUUGCUGGAUGAAAAGUGGAUUCCUGCAGCGGAGCAUCUGUUACAGACCCUUGAACAUUUGCUCCCAAACUUCCAUCUACCACAUGCACAGGCACAUGCCUUGGAUAAUUAUGAGCAGCUUGCAUUUCAUCUCCGGACAGUACGCAGCUUAAAGCUUCUUUCUUUUCAG